UGACCACAGGCGAUUGGUUUUAGUGGUAGGUGUGUGGGGAUCUGUUCUGGUCAUCUGGAUGCUGGUCAUCGGUGUGCAGUAUUGAUCAGGACCUGCAAACCCAAAAGUUUAUGGGAGCUGGCACGUCAUCCCAUCAUCUUCGUUUCAGACAGAGCAAACAGCAACAAGGAGCUGGGUGUGGACCAGGAGUCAGAGGAGGGCAAAGGCAAAACAAGCCCUGAUAAGCAAAAGCAGUCCCCACAGGUGUCUGGGCAUGUGGCAUGGGUGGGGUGGCCAGCACGCUACAGGGGCUUCCUAUGCGCUUGGGAUACACAGGGGCUGGAGGCUUCCCAGGAGUUUGUCUUGAACAUCUGGAGGUUUGAAUUUGUCCCACUGACCUUUUCUUUCGCAAGUUCCCCUGAAAUUUGGGCUGCUGCUUGGGUGAAUAUCCCAGGAUGGGGGUUCCAUUCUAGGAGUGGACUGGCAGGCUGAGCCUCCCAUGGAGCUGAUCCAGCCAGGAUACAGAGAAGGGGAGGCAAAGACUGAGACAGAACCAGCUUGAGAGCGGAGGCGCA
rnacentral:sRNA from 1 species